UGGGGAAUAUUGCACAAUGGGCGCAAGCCUGAUGCAGCCAUGCCGCGUGUAUGAAGAAGGCCUUCGGGUUGUAAAGUACUUUCAGCGGGGAGGAAGGUGUUGUAGUUAAUAACCACAGCAAUUGACGUUACCCGCAGAAGAAGCACCGGCUAACUCCGUGCCAGCAGCCGCGGUAAUACGGAGGGUGCAAGCGUUAAUCGGAAUUACUGGGCGUAAAGCGCACGCAGGCGGUCUGUCAAGUCGGAUGUGAAAUCCCCGGGCUCAACCUGGGAACUGCAUCCGAAACUGGCAGGCUUGAGUCUUGUAGAGGGGGGUAGAAUUCCAGGUGUAGCGGUGAAAUGCGUAGAGAUCUGGAGGAAUACCGGUGGCGAAGGCGGCCCCCUGGACAAAGACUGACGCUCAGGUGCGAAAGCGUGGGGAGCAAACA
rnacentral:rRNA from 1 species